UACGGGGGGAGCAAGCGUUGUUCGGAUUUACUGGGCGUAAAGGGCGCGUAGGCGGCGUGACAAGUCACUUGUGAAAUCUCCGGGCUUAACUCGGAACGGUCAAGUGAUACUGUCGUGCUAGAGUGCAGAAGGGGCAACUGGAAUUCUCGGUGUAGCGGUGAAAUGCGUAGAUAUCGAGAGGAACACCUGCGGCGAAGGCGGGUUGCUGGGCUGAUACUGACGCUGAGGCGCGAAAGCCAGGGGAGCGAACGGG
rnacentral:rRNA from 1 species